GUUGAUAUUACUGCUAUAAAAUGCGUUUGGCUAUUGCCAUUUUUCAGUCACUGCGAAUCAAAUCAAGCAAGCUCGAAUGAGACGACUCGUGAUUCAGUUGAGUCAGUGAAUCCGAGUCAAACUAAUUAAGUCGCAUUCACAGACUAGUUUUGUGAACCGAUUCAACCAGUUCAUCACAGAGAUCCGACUCAAAAGAACGAUUCGAUGCCGAUUCGGACGUCGCUUCUAGGUAGGCAGCUCGCUGUGUUUUGAAACGCAGCCGGUGUCUGAGCGUGUGCUGUACUGCUGCAGUGAAGUAAAAUAUGUCAGUUAUCACCGGACAGCAGCGAGAGACGGCUACAAAUGUACCCUGAGAGGCAACCGGUGCAACGAUUUUCUUCCGUUUAACACCAAAAUGAGGCCCGGCUGCUCCACAUCUACAGCGGCGGAAGAAUAAUACGGUAAGUCUCGCCGGCUUUUAGGAUGUUUCAUUAGACAUGUUCGGGUUUCCAGCAUAGGUUAUCCCACAGUUAACACGAACUAAACCGGUAUCAUUCACUGCACUUUUCUGAACGUUUUCUCGGCCACCAGCUCGCUGUUUAACGGACUGUUAUCAUCUAAAUAGGCGAAGGAGGAAGUCAACGCUGCCUUCUCCAUCGCGCACUUCAUCCUUUAAUUACGAACGAACUUAAGUUGGAGCAUUUGCGAUGUUGCACCUGCCUAUAUAUCAUUUUUUUUGCAACAGGGAACUUUAUUCAAUGUUUAUCACUAUAAUGAAGUACUUAAAGUCCGUUCAGUUCUAAAUCCCCUUGUUUUGUUGUGUUAUACAGUGUGUCUGCGCAGCCGACGCAGCGCUGCAGUGGUCGGUUGUCAUGGAGGCCUGCGCUGGCAUCCGACCGGGGCUGCUGCUGUCACGACUGCGUACAUGAGUGCCACAUUGGCAUCGGCAGCAAAGCUCAGAAGUACUGCUCUCUUUGGACCCUGACAGUGUGGAGUGUGGACAGUGAGACUGCCAGACAGCAGGUUGGGUAAAAUAUGCAAAUAUGACUUAUUUUCCCCCCAUAAGUUCCAUUUCUUGUUGGUUUCCCUCUCCAUCCAAUGAAUCCUAAGUCUAGUUUAAUCACAGCACAGGCUAUAUUAGUUUUUGUUUUUCAAAUAGGCUUAGCAGAUCUAUUUUAAAUGUCAUGGUACACUUUGUAGAGGUGUGAAUUAUAGAGCCACUUGAGUUCCCAUGAUGCCCUUGGAGCAAGACACUUAACCUCCAUGUGCUCCCGGAAGACUGUCCCUACAAUUCGCCUACUCUAAGCAGCUUUGGCUGAGAAAAGCAUCUGCUAAAUGACAAGUAACCAAAGUGUAAUUGAUAGGCCAUAAUGAGAUCACAUUCUGCUCUAAUUCAGUUUCACACACAUCUUCAGCAGCAGUUGAAUAUCAAAACAGUCAUAAUUGCCUUAGAAUUGACCAGCCAUCUCUAUAGUUUCAUUGUGAUGUUGGUUGUACACAGAUGAGCUGUUUUAGGACUUUAAGCCCCUCAGAAGCCCUCUGACACAUGAUACUCUUGACGUGUACAGUGUGUGUGUAUGUGUAUGAACAUGGAUUUACAGCAAAAGACAGUGGAAAGUGUUGAUGACUCAUGUUAAUCGGCUCAGUUAUUUUUCUCUCAUGUCUGAAAGUGACCCCUGUUCAUGAAUCCAGCUCAUAUGCGCUUUGAGAUUAUAUACUGUUAUUUAUUAAAAGUACAUAGUAGAUGCUGUUACUGUGUGUUGUCAUGCAACAUUUUUAUUUUGUUGACUAUGUUUUGAAUAGCAUACUACUCUAAUAAUUUCUGCAAAUAUAUAAACUACUGUUGAAAGGUUAGGGCCUGAUAUGAUUUUUAAUGUUUUUAGGUCUCUUAUGCUCAACAAAGCAUUUAUUUAAUUAAAAAUACAAUAAAAAACAGUAAUAUUUAAAAAAUAAAAUCACAAUUUAAAAUAACUGCUUUCUAUUUUUAAUAUAUUUUGAAAUAUUUAAAAAAUUAAUUCCUGUGAUGAAAAAGCCGAAUUUUCAGCAACCAUUAUAGUCUUCAGUGUCACAUGAUCCUUCAGAAAUCAUUCUAAUAUGCUGAUUUGCUGCUCAAGAAACACUUCAUAUUAUUACCAAUGUUUAAAACAGUAAUGCUAUUUAAUAAUGUUUUUGUGUAAACCAUGCUGCUUUUUUUUCUGAAUUGAAAAUUCAACAGCAUUUGUUUGACAUAGAAAUCUUUUGUACCAUUAUAAAUGUCUUGAACAAUUUAAUGCAUCCAUACCGAAUAAAAGUAUUAAUUUCUUCCAAAAAAACAACAAAAAACUUUCUAACCCCAAAAUAACCC
rnacentral:lncRNA from 1 species